rnacentral:rRNA from 1 species
AUACGUAGGGGGCGAGCGUUGUCCGGAAUGAUUGGGCGUAAAGGGCGCGUAGGCGGCCCGGUAAGUCUGGAGUGAAAGUCCUGUUUUUAAGAUGGGAAUUGCUUUGGAUACUGUCGGGCUUGAGUGCAGGAGAGGUAAGUGGAAUUCCCAGUGUAGCGGUGAAAUGCGUAGAGAUUGGGGGGAACACCAGUGGCGAAGGCGACUUACUGGACUGUAACUGACGCUGAGGCGCGAAAGUGUGGGGAGCAAACAGGAUUAGAUACCCUGGUAGUCCACACUGUAAACGAUGAAUGCUAGGUGUAGGGGGUAUCGACCCCUUCUGUGCCGCAGUCAACACAAUAAGCAUUCCGCCUGGGGAGUACGGCCGCAAGGUUGAAACUCAAAUGAAUUGACGGGG